rnacentral:rRNA from 1 species
GGAAAGGCUUUUUGCGGCAUGGGAUGGGGUCGCGUCCUAUCAGCUUGUUGGUGGGGUAACGGCCUACCAAGGCGUUGACGGGUAGCCGGCCUGAGAGGGCGACCGGCCACAUUGGGACUGAGAUACGGCCCAGACUCCUACGGGAGGCAGCAGUGGGGAAUAUUGCACAAUGGGCGCAAGCCUGAUGCAGCGACGCCGCGUGCGGGAUGGAGGCCUUCGGGUUGUAAACCGCUUUUGUUCAAGGGCAAGGCACGGUUUCGGCCGUGUUGAGUGGAUUGUUCGAAUAAGCACCGGCUAACUACGUGCCAGCAGCCGCGGUAAUACGUAGGGUGCAAGCGUUAUCCGGAUUUAUUGGGCGUAAAGGGCUCGUAGGCGGUUCGUCGCGUCCGGUGUGAAAGUCCAUCGCUUAACGGUGGAUCCGCGCCGGGUACGGGCGGGCUUGAGUGCGGUAGGGGAGACUGGAAUUCCCGGUGUAACGGUGGAAUGUGUAGAUAUCGGGAAGAACACCAAUGGCGAAGGCAGGUCUCUGGGCCGUUACUGACGCUGAGGAGCGAAAGCGUGGGGAGCGAACAGGAUUAGAUACCCUGGUAGUCCACGCCGUAAACGGUGGAUGCUGGAUGUGGGGCCCUUUUUCCGGGUCCUGUGUCGGAGCUAACGCGUUAAGCAUCCCGCCUGGGGAGUACGGCCGCAAGGCUAAAACUCAAAGAAAUUGACGGGGGCCCGCACAAGCGGCGGAGCAUGCGGAUUAAUUCGAUGCAACGCGAGAACCUUACCUGGGCUUGACAUGUGCCGGACGCCCGCGGAGACGUGGGUUCCCUUCGGGCGGUUCACAGUGUGCAUGGUCGUCGUCAGCUCGUGUCGUGAGAU